rnacentral:rRNA from 1 species
AUUGAACGCUGGCGGCAUGCCUUACACAUGCAAGUCGAACGGCAGCACGGGGCAACCUGGUGGCGAGUGGCGAACGGGUGAGUAAUGUAUCGGAACGUACCAUUGAGUGGGGGAUAACGUAGCGAAAGUUACGCUAAUACCGCAUAUUCUCUCCGGAGGAAAGCGGGGGACCGCAAGGCCUUGCGCUCUUUGAGCGGCCGAUAUCAGAUUAGCUAGUUGGUGAGGUAAAGGCUCACCAAGGCGACGGUCUGUAGCGGGUCUGAGAGGAUGAUCCGAAACACCGGAACUGAGACACGGUCCAGACUCCUACGGGAGGAAGCAGUGGGGAAUUUUGGACAAUGGGGGCAACCCUGAUCCAGCCAGGCCGCGUGAGUGAAGAAGGCCUUCGGGUUGUAAAGCUCUUUCGGCCGGGAAAAAAUCGCAUGGGCUAAUACCCUGUGUGGAUGAUGGUACCGGAAUAAGAAGCACCGGCUAACUACGUGCCAGCAGCCGCCGUAA